GUGGGGCGGAGCCACACUGCCCGCAAAGCAACAUCACAAUUGCUCGCUACCCCUGAGAAAUGCCUCGGAGGCCACAGCUCUGAUGGGGCGGCACACCGCUGGAUGAUAGGGCUUUGACGGUUCAGGCAGAUAAUGAAGACCAAGCGGAAAGAACUACGUUCUUAUUGAAAGCAGUUAGUGUGGAUUAUAGGGCAAACGAUUUAAAACUCGAUGACUAAGUACAUAAAGCAUCUCGGGGGAGUUAAGUAUGUACGGCCAUUCAGGAAGUACCGUUGCCAGCGUGUUCUCACGGAGAGCCUGCUCUUUCGCUAUCAGCAUUUGCUCACAGAAAGGAAAAGCCCGUUUCACUGUCAUCAAUGCUUCUUGAGUUGGGAAAGGAAUACAGAUAACAAGGUGGGGCCAGUGAUAAAACAGUCGUCUCCAUUUUAAGGCAAAGAAGCAAACCCAAAAGGCGACAGAGAUCACCCCACAGCAAGACUCCUCCACUUCAAGAGCCACGCUGAGACCUACUGCAAAUUGAUGCUUGCCGGAUGGAGCAAUUCCACUCCUGGAUCCGUCUUAUUUCAAACCUCUGAGAACUGUGGAUGUCUGCGGAAGACGCCGCCUCCUUUAAAAACAACUGAUGCUGUAUUAAGAACUAAUCAGGCCAACACACAGACUGCUGGCACAGAGAGGGCAUGACCUUGCAAUGUAACGAGGAGGGACUGGCACAGGUAAAUAGCGCUGUGACCCAGUAGGCAUCUGCCAGCCAGCCAUGCUUUAGAAAAAUCACUGCAAAGCCUCAAUCCAGUUUUGCAUCCCGGAUGAUUCAGAGGACGAGAAUAAUUAUCAUGAGUCAUGAACAUCUCCUCACAGGUCAAAAGGCAGGAGUGCAGAACAGCCAUGGGGGGUUAAUCCACACGUGUGAGUUGUACUUACGGGCCCCAUGAUGGUCGCUUGCCAGUGGAACACUGAAACACAGAGGAACAGGAGUCACUUACAGCUGCUCAAAGCCAUCCUGUCCAUGGCAGCCAAACCCAGCAAUAGAGUGAACUUACGGUCAUCUCCCACGGGUCCGGCUGAGCAGUGAGCAGGUGGAUCACGCUGUAAAUCACUUAAUUCCUGAAGGAAAGCGGAAAUACUUGCAGUUAAUCCUUCCGUUUCCGGGGAAACGGGCACAAAGAACCCAGAAAGACAGAGACUAACAACUUCUCUUUAAGUCAUUUUAAGUCGAAUCUGUUCACCAUGGACCCUGCCAUUCUGGAUAGACAAAUGAAAUCAUUAAACUCCUUUAUGAGAGAGUCCCAGCCUCUGAAAGGAAGAAGCAGAAUCAAGUGUUUUCCUUUAAGACCCCUACUAUGUCCCUACGGAAGAUCAUAUAUGUCAUUGUUACGCAGAUGAUACCAAUAAGUAGGUCCUGGCUGGCACAGUAACGCAUGCAUGAACUCUGCCAGGUUUCCUUUCCAGCCUUAAACAAACAAGGUCUGUCUUCCAGGAAGUUACAGUUCACUGAGGGGAAGUGAGAGCCUGGGGACAUGGGCACUUAAGGAAAGACUUGAAGGAGCCAAGGAUCUGUGUGAAGAGCGGAGGUGGGUUGGGAGGAAGACGGCUCAGCCCACAAAGUGCCUGCUGCCUAACCAGAAGGACCUGGGCUCAAUACCAGCGCCCAUGUAAAACUUUGCAGGCGGUGGGUGAUGCAGCACUGGUGAGAGAGAGAGAGACUGGAGGACCCAAUCCUUGGGAUUUGCUGGCCAGCUAGCCUGCUUGGACUGGAAAAACUGAGUGACUGUUAUGGACUACUGUGGAGUAGAUACGCGAAAGACCUGGCAAGCAAAUCCAGCGUGAGAUCCCAGACAGUUCAAUCCCAGCACAAGGAAAGGGCCAAGUGGGAGAGCCAAGGACGCUGAGUGCCCUUCCUAAGCUGUUCCUCAUGGAGGUAACUGCACUAUGGUUGACAUAAGCUGUGGGCCUCAGGGGAAGAAUGUGUACCAACUGCCACUAUUGUGUUGAAAUCCUUCUGGACUACUAAAAGUAUUUCAAAUCAAUUAAUGAAUGUUGCGGGUGUGGAACCCAGGUCUUGUGUAACCUGGGCAACCACUGAGCUAAAUCCUCAAAGACCAUUAUUUUUAAACAUUUAUUUUAUAUUUGUGUGUGUGUGUGUGUGUGUGUGUGUGUGUGUAUGGGGGCACACGGGCCUAUGAGUGCAGGCAUCCACAGAAGACAGCAUGAGAUCCCCUGGAAGCGGAAUGUGGUUAGCUGCUGCAUGGAUACUAGAAACCAAGCCUGGGUCCUCUGCAAGAGCCGCAAGUCCUCUUAACCUCCGAGCUGUCUCUGCAACCUCAAAGACCAUUUGUAGAAGUAAAAGCUUUGGGCUGGAGAGAUGGCUCAGCGGUUAAGAGCAAUGACUGCUCUUCUGGAGGUCCUCAGCGGUUAAGAGCACUGGCCGCUCUUCCAGAGGUCCUGAGUUCAAAUCCCAGCAACCACAUGGUGGCUCACAGCCAUCUGUAAUGAGAUUGGGUGCCCCCUUCUGGGGUGUCUGAAGACAGCUACAGUGUACUUACAUAUAAUAAAUAAUUCAGGAUGAGGAGGAAGAAGAAGUGGAGGAGAAGGAGGGGGGGAGGACUGGUGACCUUGAACUCUACUGAGUUCAAGAAAAGCACACCCUGUUGGGCACCUGUAACAGAUUCUUAAUAAAGCUGAUUGCCCCUCCUUUUCCUCCUUUGUUAUAAUGUCUUUUACUUUUUAUUUUC